UACCGCCGGUAGGUGGCGCAUUUCAAUCUCGAUUUGCUGCUUACAUAUCUCCAUUUCCUAUUGGUCCCUUUAGCUGAGUAACGGGUAUCUGGGUAUUUGAGCUGCACCAAAAAAAAGGCAACGCCGGCCCCAGAUGCUGGCGAGGAGGUGCCAACGACUCCGUUAGGACCGGGAACCGCCGAGCCCCCAUUGUACACCAUUCAUCAAGAACGCGUGUUUGUGGAAUUUUUCAUAUGCAUCAUUUAUACAUAUGCAGAUUCCUGUGAGACUUCAAGCAAGGCGGUUGCAUAGUCGAGAGAACUCUGAAGUUGUCUCGUUUAAAGUCAGUGUAGCGACGGUCGUCACCUAAAAAGUAAACUGUGUAUAGUGUGAGACACUCCGGAACUAGAGGUACGUACCAUGGCACUGUUCCGGCGGGGCUUCCGAACGUAUCCCCAAGUCUUGGACUGGUGAGGCUGCUGUCGGUUCGUGGGCCAGGGGGAUCCUCUCCCGCGCAUAUCGAGUGAGAGUCUUUCACCACGAAAUCUCUCUCACACGCACAGUGACACAGCGCACAAUGCUGAACAACGUGGGGCGUAGGAGCUCAACAGCGUGGAUCUCCGCGCUUAACAGCACAUAGUGUUGGAAAGCGCCAUAAACGCGGGCCCUCUCUGAUUUUUUGAACUUUCGAAAUACUCCAAAUUCUGGCACCUAGAUACAGGGACGGCAAAGGGCAGAAGGCCAAGGAUCGGGCAAAUUCCAACCCCUCCGCCGCGGCGGUGCCUAUCAAAAGGGGCACUGGGGACCGAAAAGGGGCGGUAUAUCCCCCAUCGUAAGCCAAGGGGAAAUCUGUGGCCAGCGCGGGAGCCUCCCUCGAGCAAGUCGGGAAACCUGAGAUGGAGGAGGCUGAAAACCCUUUCGUGGGCAGACCAGUGGUGGUAAGAUCUCCCCGCCAUCCGAGGGAAGAGGGGACCGAUGGAGUUGCAGCGGCAUUUAGGAGGGGCAGCAAGCUCGCCCGCUCGCCGGCACCUUCGUAAGCCCAAGUUGAUGAGCUGAUUGGAGAUGCUGAGGAAGUGAAGGAAACCCCUAAGAGGACGUGUGAUCCUGCAAGCCCAGCAAACUCGCAAAGGACAACGCCGGCCAAAAGGAGCAAGGCCUCCCACGAGGCAACCUGCCUUGAGGAUCUCUUGGAGCUGGGGAAGCUGCUACAGAAGAUAUCCACCAAGAUGAUAGACAAAACGGCACGCCAUAUAACCGUCGCCACGAGGGAGACGUUCGUGCGCAUGAAGGCGCUUCACACGAGCAUCCUAGAGGCGAAUAGAGAGGGCGGCAAGGACGACAGCAUCAGUGAGAACGGCCAUGAUGCUGCAAUCGUGUGCUCGAAAUGCUCUCGAAGCUUGCAGAGCGCCGGCAAGGAACAGCAGACAACGGCUGUCUGAAGAGAGAUGCUGCAGCGCAAAUGGAACCUUGGCGAAGGAUAAGCCAGCCAACUGUGGCUGGAGGAUCCGCAGCUCAACUGGCCCACCAUCCACGCGCCCAACGCAGCAGAAAAGAGCCAAAGCUACCAGGAGCACCCGAAUGAACCCUCCAAAAGGGCCACAAGAAAGAGAGGCGACGCACGCUGGCGCCAGUAAGAUUUCGAGCCACGCAACUCCGGUCGCCGGUCAGGAAAAAGCCGAGGGCCACGCGUCGCGCCAUACCAGACGCUGUCGUUGUCGAGGCGAGCGGCAAAUCUUACAGCGAGGUGUUAGCCAUGGUGACACGAAGGGAAGACAAACAGUUGUCGGACCUGGGAAGCUGUGUAUCCAAGGUACUUCCGCACCAUUAACGGCAACCUACUGCUCGAGGUGGCCAAAGCAGAAAGCGCAGAAGCCAUGAAGGAGAGCAUCGCGAGGGUGCUAGGCGACGCAGCGUCAGUGCGAGCCAUGUCGGACGAGGCUAAACUGCUCGUUUUGGAGAUACGAGACGUCGACUCCAUCGCGACGGAGCAGAAAAUCUGAGCUAGGACUGCGAGCUAGUAUGGCAUCAAUGCUGAGCGCAUCAGAGUCCGGAGUCUGCGCCGAGGCUACGCGGAGUCGCAGUCGGCAGUGAUCAGCUUGCCCUACUCCCUGGGAGAGGCGUUCUUCAUCGUGGCGAGGUGCAGAUUGAAUGGACCAUCUGCAGGAUCCGGGAAAGAACAGGCCUCCCAAGAUGAUUCAAAUGCUUGUAACCCGGCCAUAUUGCAGUUAACUGCAAGAGCCUAGUGGAUAGGAGCGAUUGCUGCAUAAGAUGUGGUGAACAAGGGUACAAGGCAGCCAAGUGCAGCAAGGAGCCUUCAUGCUUCAUCUGCUCUGCGGGAGGAAAGAAGGAGACCAGGUACCAGGCAGGAAGCAGAUUCUGCUCAGCCACAACCAGCGGGACAGGGAGGCCUCGACCGACAUGCAGUUGAUCCAGCUAAACCUCCUGAAGCAGACGGUGCGCGAACUGGGUUCUGAGGUGGCAAUACUCAGUGAGCCCUACAGAGUGGAAAGCACUAACGAUUGGGUCACGGAUCGCACUGGCAAAGCGGCACUGUGGCUCUGCGGAGUGGGUGCACCACUCAUGCGGGACAUGAGGGCAGCAGAGGGGUUCAAGGGGCUCCCUCUAUACCAACGCCAGGGGGCGCACCAUCCUUGAGGCUAUUGCGUCGCUGGACAUCGUCCUGUUGGACGAGGGCUCCCAGCACACCUUCAACAGAGCUGGGGUCGGUUCAAUCAUUGACCGUAGCACACGCUGGAGGAUAGGCGAGGUGUUCACGGCCAGCGACCAUGAAGCCAUCCUGCUGACAGUUGGCGGUCCACCGUGCCAAAGCCAGCCGAUGACCGGGUCAAGGAAAGCCUACCGCCAGGACACCUUUAGGCCACAGACCUUUGCCAGUGCACUGGAAGGAUUGGCUGUCUCUGAGUUGGACUCGGCAGAUGAAGCAGCGAACAAAUUGGCAGCUAGACUGGAGGAAGCCCACCAGUGUACUGGUGGAGCGAGGAAAUCGCUAGCUUGCGCUGGACCUGCCUUCGAGCCAGGAGGUUAGUCCAAAGGGCGAGAGGCACGGCAAACCUCUCAGCCUGCUACUCGAGCUUUAAGAGUGCAAAGAAGGCACUCAAACUGGCGAUUCGGUACAGCAAGAGGAAAAGCUACCUCAAGCUCUGCGACGAGCUGGAAAACGACCCAUGGGGAAGAUCCUAUAAGACGGUGGUCAAGCGUGUGAAUGCCGGCAAUAGGUCGCUUACUGACCCGGCGGUCCUGGAGGGUAUUGUCUAAGUGCAGUUUCCAGAGGGUCGCCGCCAUUGCAUCCCCCGAUAGACGCGACAAAUUGGGAGCCCGAUAUGUCCGGUCACGGAGACGGAAAUAUUAUCUGUGGCAAGAAACUUGAAGAACAGGAAGGACUCUGGGCCGGAUUUGGUCCCGAACAGUGCAGUGAAGACCCUGCUAUCCCUCCAUCCGGGUGCGGUAGCAUCGCUCUAUAGCACGUGCCUGCUGGAAGGGACCUUUCCCGACAGGUGGAAGCGCCAAAAACUUCUGCUCCUGCCAAAGCCAGGGAAACCAGCGGGCGAAGCCUCUUCUUAUAGACCCAUCUGCCUGCUGGACACUAUAGGCAAGGUCUUCGAAAGGGUCAUUGCAACAAGGCUUAACUCUGCUAUGGAGGAUGCCGAUGGACUCUCUUCCAACCAAUAUGGUUUCCGGAAAGGGAAAUCGACACUGGAUGCGAUAGAGAGGGUCACCAACCUUGCUGCUAAAACCAUCGCUGGUACCAGACGGAAGGGUGGGACGAAGAAGUAUUGUCUAGUGGUCACGCUGGACAUACGGAACGCGUUCAACUCAGCCGAUUAAGGGAGGACAGUGGAGACAUUACGGUCCUUCAACAUCCCGGAAUACCUGUUGAAUGUAGUGCACAGCUACCUCAGCAAAAGGGAGUUGGUCCUAGAAACAUCUGUGGGCCCCAGGACUUACGAGGUGACAGCCGGUGUUCCUCAGGGCGCGGUACUUUGGAACACGAUGUAUGACGGAGUUCUGAAGCUCCCACUGCCGAGCAGCACCAAUAUUGUUGGCUUUGCAGAUGAUGUCGCGCUGGUUGUGGUGGCCAAGGAAGUUGGUUAGGAAGUUAGGAAGUUACAGUUCGUAAACAAGAAGGCAAGUGAGACCACAGGAUCGCUCUGCAGGAUCCUGCUGAACACCAGGGGAGCGAAGCAGGACAGACGUAGUCUCCUCGCGACCGUUGUCAAGUCGCAGUUGCUGUACGCUGGUCCAGUGUGGGCUGAGGCCACGGCUGUUAGCAGCUACAUGGGAGGUGUUAACUCGACGUACCGCCUGUGUGCCGUCAGAAUAUCGAGUGCCUUCAGGACGAUUUCGGACGACGCAGCGCUUGUCAUUGCAGGCCAAGUUCCCCUAUGUGAACUGGUGCGGAAGGCCAAGGAGAUACGCGCGGCACUAGCAGGCGAACAGGCGGACCACAGUACCAAGGCCGUGGUGAAGAGGAGGGCCAGGAUGCAGAGCGUCGACAAUUGGCAGGCAGCCUGGGAAAACUCCAGCAAGGGUCGCAAGACGCACCAGCUCAUUCCCAGCAUAGAGCCAUGGGUAAAUAGGAAGCACGGCCCCUUACUCCUGUUCUUGUACUUACUUUUACUCUGUAUAUAAGUAUAGGUAAUAAAUGAAUAUACAAAAAAUAAAAAAAAAAUAUGUAGAUACACUGACAAAGCGCAUGUUUAGGCUUGCAUUAAUAAUUGCGAUCCCGUAAUAAAGUUUUGCGGGUUUUUAUUUAACAAAUUAUACUACAUUUUAAAAGAUUCUUACUGAAUUAUCAUUUUUAUCGCAAUGCCUAUGCGAGCCUAACCAUGUGCUUUGCCAGUGUAUCUGUAUAUGUACAAUGUACAUAUAUACAGUGUAUUAAAAUAAUAUUUGGGCUUUUUCAACUUUAAACGUGAAUAAAAGGUUUGAAACUAAUAAAAACAAAAAAUUUAAUGAUGAAGAAUUAAAGUUUAUUUUAUUACCAUUUCAUAGAUUUAUAUAUGUAUAUUAAUACUUUUCUUUAAAUUUAAAGGAUGCAUAAAAAAAACUAAUGUUAAUGUUAUACACUGUAUGCAUGUACAUAAUUAAGACUGAAAUAAAAUUAAUUAAAUAUUGUUAGAUGCACAAAUUCAAUAUGAUGAUUUUAAAAAUAUUUUAACUGAGUAAGAUUUGGAGGAAACCGUUCCACCGUUGGGUCCUCGGUUGACAUUUUGAGAGAAGCUGCUGCCUUGGAGAAAACCAAUACUUGGACCAGAUGGUGAAUCGCAGUUGCUUCCCACAAACAUAACCAAAUCGCAGGAGACGCCGCUUAAAUUUUAUUAUAAGGCAAAGCUGGUGCUAAGCAAAAGCUUGGACACUUUAUUGGCGAAGACCAAUAGAGGGAGAGCUAUUUUGGAUCAUGGAAAAAAACAGAUGUCUUUAAGCCAGGACAUAAAGAACGAUCUUAUGGGCAUUAUCCUUGAGGAGAUCUUCUCAACAGGGAUAACUAUGAAAUAUUCCGAUUUUAGUCUGUUUCUGGGCGAAAUUUGCUGUCACUUACCUGGCGAAGAGAAAUGCAAGGAUUACUACUUCAUUUCGCGAGACGGUAAAAAAAUCCAUCGGGCAAACUGUAUUCCAAGUACAAAAAUCGAAGAUCAAGGAUCAAGCUAAAACUAGCACAAAAUGAGUUGCUUGAAAAGUAUGAAGAUUUGGAAAACCAAACGACUGAAGUCUCAGAAUCGGAUCGUAUCGCACUUUCGCUGUUGCUUUCUCUGAAUAGGAUUGGUGACAAUUGGGUCUUAGUGUGCGAGAAAUGGAAGAAGACCUUCCAUUUUGAGCUGUGAAAAAAACAACACCCCUUUUCAAAUAUGUAAUCUCCUUAAUCAAAUUACGUAUAAGGGUAAAAUAUAUAAGUCCAAAUAUUUCCUUGUGGCUAGAGAAGUCCAUACAAAAUUAUUUAAAAUUUUAAGUUUUUUUAAUUUUGGUAUUAACGUUUUUGUUGUUUGCGAAGAAAUUAAUUUAUUGAGUUAUGAUUAUGUUGGAAAUAGCACUGAAAAUGUUUAUGUAAAAAACAUUCAAGAAUUCAUAUCAGUUCCAAUUCAUGUGUAUACUUUAAAUAAUUCGAAGUCUCAUAUAAGGCUGAAGCAGGUAUAACAUAAAACGUAAGUGGCAAAACUUAUGUAUGUAUUAUUUUCUUUUUAAGUUUCCUGUAUUAUACUACAAUAAGAAUCAACAAACUCAGUUACGCGAUACAUUCAAAUAAUAAAAUAAAAUAAAACCGGUUUUUUUGUGCAAACCCAAUGCCAUCCUAAGUGAAGAAUUAUAAGUUAUCAUGUAAAGAACCUUUUCCGCUGGAUUAUGGAAUUUUAAACUCUUUAAUGAAGCAUGGUUUGUUCUUAUUAUAAGACCAAAGAUAAUGCAUUGGUAAAAUUGGUACAUACUGUUCUUGAGCGUAGUAUAAAUAAUUAUUUUCUGAAGACUAAGUCCAGUUUAAAAUAAGAGUUAUAUAUUUUUGAUGCAAGCUGCAUAUAAUCUUGAUAUAAGCGUUGGCCAUGGUUCAUUUAAGAACAUUUUAGACAUGUUUUAAGAAUAAAUAUUGAUAUAUUAAGGAACUAAUUAUAUUUCAUGUAAGUUCAAUUCAUACUUGAUUUAAGAAUUUUUAAACUUAACUAAAGUACAAUUCAUAUUUAAAUAAAGUAGUAUUUAUACUUAAAUAAAGAAGAUUUCAUACUUAAAUCAAGUAGAAUAUGUUCGUACCCAAAGGUACUCAACAUGACCACACCCAACAAAUCAAGCAGUAGCCAAGUUGGGAACAGUACCAGGCGCUCAGUAGCACCCACUCACUAACUUACCGUCUCAGCGGUACUUUGACCCGCCAAUGCAGUCAGCACAUUUUGCAGUGUCAGCCGAGCCAACUACGCAAACUGCUACCAUAAUCGAAACUCCCUGACCUACCGACCUGCCUACCUACUUUAGAAUAUAGCUUAUUUCACUAAUCAUUACACUAAACUUCCGUGUUCCAAAUAGUAUAUAAGCAUGUAUCAAAUGAAGAAUAAAUCAGUUAUCAA